CGGGUGCUGCCGCUCCCGGCCGCCGCCAUGUUGGGGGGGGGGUCCGGCCGCUGCCCGGGCUGGGCGGGGACCGGCCCCCGGGACCCGGGAGGGUGCGUGGGGUCGAGGCAGGAGCGGCCCUAGGGGUGCUGAGGGGGAUAGGUCCUGAGCCGGGGGCAGGCGGGGGUCCGUGCGCCCCUCCCGAGGGGCCUGGCACCUCCCCGCCGUGCCGUCCGUUGUUGUCGGAAGAAGAAGGUUCAUAGUUACAAAGAGUCCAGGUUUGGAAACCAGUUGGGAGUGACGAACAGCGCAGCAAUCAUUGACUUCACCGAGGGUUCUUGGCUGUUGUUUUGGAUGGAGCUGAGCUUGCUGUGUGGAACACCCCUCUGCUCCCUGCUCUGUGCAGAGCUGGAUAUUAAAGCAGAUCUCUGGGCUCUGUUUGUGAGAAGGAAGUGCUGGGAAGGAGGGAAAGCCCGGCCAGCACACAGGGCGAUGGCAGCAGCAAAUUGAGGUUCGUGCUUUCAGUAAAGUGUCAUUACCAUGAAGACUUCUCAAUCCCUGAUUUUUGGUGGGCUGUUGUUUCUAAAACUGUUUCGGCUUGAUGGUCCUGAGCAGGUUUAUUUCUGCAAAGGAUGGGGCUCAGGCCUCUUUCUUUCCAUCUUCCCAGAGAGGAGAAGGCUGUGACAUUGGAGGUUCUUCUACUUCUUAAACCACAGGAAAGUCUUCAGACAUGUUGGUUUAAAGUGUGAACUGUUGCAAAGAAAACUGAAGACGUUAGCAGGAGAUUGUUUUCUUUUGCAGUGGAGAGGAAAGGCUGGAACUGGUCUUUGAUCCUUCCUGGGCUCAGGGUGAAGGCUUUGCCACAUGCAGCAGGAUUAAGAUCUUAUUUUUAGACUACUGCUUAUCUAAAAUCUGUCCCAAAGAGCUUUGCUGCCUUAGGCUGUAAGUAAUGGCUGUAAAGUGUGUAAUCCAGGGCUAUAGGGGAAGAAGAAAGGAUUUGUACUCAUUGCGAAGCUUUCUGAAGAGGUUGGGGAAAUCCUUGAGGUGACAUGGGCCUAGACAUUUGUCCUGGGGUGUAGCCUUUUGUGUAAACCAAUCCUAAUAAAAUAAUGCCUUUUAAAAA